UGUUUGAUGUUCUAACGUUGGCCCCUGAUCGGGGUUGCGGACAGUGUCUGGUGGGUAGUUUGACUGGGGCGGUCUCCUCCUAAAGAGUAACGGAGGAGCACGAAGGUUGGCUAAUCCUGGUCGGACAUCAGGAGGUUAGUGCAAUGGCAUAAGCCAGCUUGACUGCGAGCGUGACGGCGCGAGCAGGUGCGAAAGCAGGUCAUAGUGAUCCGGUGGUUCUGAAUGGAAGGGCCAUCGCUCAACGGAUAAAAGGUACUCCGGGGAUAACAGGCUGAUACCGCCCAAGAGUUCAUAUCGACGGCGGUGUUUGGCACCUCGAUGUCGGCUCAUCACAUCCUGGGGCUGAAGUAGGUCCCAAGGGUAUGGCUGUUCGCCAUUUAAAGUGGUACGCGAGCUGGGUUUAGAACGUCGUGAGACAGUUCGGUCCCUAUCUGCCGUGGGCGCUGGAGAACUGAGGGGGGCUGCUCCUAGUACGAGAGGACCGGAGUGGACGCAUCACUGGUGUUCGGGUUGUCAUGCCAAUGGCACUGCCCGGUAGCUAAAUGCGGAAGAGAUAAGUGCUGAAAGCAUCUAAGCACGAAACUUGCCCCGAGAUGAGUUCUCCCUGAGACUUUAAGUCUCCUGAAGGAACGUUGA
rnacentral:rRNA from 1 species